rnacentral:lncRNA from 1 species
GUUCUUGCUAUCAGAAGGCAUGAGCAGAGCUAGGUCCCAUGUAGCCCCUCAAAGGCCCUCCAGAAUAGUCCCAAUAGCCACUGGUCUGGGGACAGGGCCUAGAGUCAUGACACAUACUGGCUCCUUCAGAGUGUUAGGUUCCAGAAUUUCUCCUCAGCAUGAAUGUGUUCUUGGCUUGCUUUGGCCUUCACAGUUCCAUCUGUAUUUUGAAACAAUGAAAGCAGAGCUUGAAAACAUAAUUAUUCCCUUCCAUUCCUAGACCCUUUUAGCCCUGAUGGGUAGCCAUUUUCAUAAACAUCCAAAUGGAAAUUGUCAUUCCAAUUUCAAAACAAUAAAGAUUAGUGCUCCUGAAAACACACAACCCAAAGACAAUUAUUUUAGUCCAUAAAAAUAAAAAGGUCAUUAUGAAUAGAGACAUAGCCUUCAUCCAUUGUCAUAACUCCCUAAAGGAACUACUUCAAAGCGUCACUUGUAAUUUACUCUCUGAUGGGCACACAAAUGCCAUUUAAAUAUUCCCUGGGCCUGUGAGAUAUGGUCCCUUACACAGGUCUCCACCACGUGACCCAGGUGAUUCUUAAGUGGAAAACAAGGUAUUUGGUAGACCUCAGCAGAAAGUCUCCGGACAAGAGUGUUGGUUACGUCCAGUGUCCUCAAGUGAUCAUCUGCCAAAUGUACUAGCUCACUAAUGCGAGCUUAGAACAGGGCUAAGCUGUCUCCCUGUCCCAGAGCUCAUACCCCCUUCCCAUCCCCUAUUGCCUGGAAGUAUUGACAGUGCUCAGUUGUAUUACUUGGUGUUUGAUUUGAUUUGACUGUUUAGAUCAAUGUUGUUAUUGCCAUGGAUAAAAUAACAGAGACAGAGAAAACCAAACGCAUUGGAGAAAAUGGCGCGUGUUCAAAUGAAGAGAUUUAUUUUGUACAGACAGAGAAGCGUCCUCAGUAAUGUUGCUGACAUAAAGCACUUUGGGGGGGGAGGGGAGUGGAAAUCUGUUUUCCAUAAAUCACAUAGGCCCUUGUACAUUGUUCUAUCCACUCAUGUAGAGAAAUGAGCUGCGUAUAUCAUACUGGAUAUGGGGCCAGUUUGACGGUAGGGGCACAUGUGGUGCUUAUUGUCGUAAAUCUUUUAAGGAAUUAGGUACACUUUUUUCUAUUAAUAUGUAUAGUUUUACGAUUUGUCACAGUUAUGUUUCAUAUAAUCAUAAGUUAUUUUGUCUUGUUUCAUGAAGUCCUUUUUUUUUUUUUAAUGUCAAAAGUAAAAUGAAGGGAUUGUAUACUUGGCACAAAAUAAAACUGGAAAUCGAGGCUGCCCCUCCCGCCUGAAGCGCUCCUUCAGCGCGUCGGCUUAAAACACAAUGGUAACCGGCGUUGUUUGUUUGUUUGUCUUAUUGUUCUGUUCUCUUCUGUCACCAGCCUCCUCUGUAUUGGGGAUGGUGAUUAUAAUUAAAAGCAGAUGGGGGGGGAAGGGGUGUCCAAGGCCAGCUUUAAAAUGCUGCAUCGCUUUGGGCCAGAACUGAAGCCUGGAUUUAAUUAUAGAUAUGAGGACGAAAUGGCAGUAAAAAUGAAUGUCUCCCUGAAUCCUUUACAUGUUGGGAGUGUCCAUAAAUAAAACAUGAAGUUUUAUUUCAUCACAUU